UUCUCUAAGUUAACUUUCCUUUCCUUUCCUUCCCUUCCCUUCCCUUCCCUCCUUCCUUGACCUUACCUUUCUUCCCUCCUCUUGCUUCCCUCAUCCUCAUCCCGCAGAGAUCCAGCUUUAUUGGCAGAGCUUUACAGAUCCAAUACCAGGAGAUUAAACUAGUGUCCUUUUCCUCUUCUGUUAUUAAAACAGCAGCUCAGCAGAGAGGGAUCCACGGUGAAACAUCCACGGUGCCCACCGUCUCAAAUCUCCACCUGUUUUCUUGUAAGGUAAGUACUGUAAACAUUUACAGUUCCUGAACUUGCCUCUUUGUUGUCCUCGUUGGGAAAACUGCACAUUAAAAAUGUUGAGGUAAAAACUUUGCUCCCAGCAUUAAAGUGUUUCCUGCGCACUCGCAGACUAGAGAAAAAGUCAUGUUUCUGUGCCGACACUUCUUGUACAUGAUUUGUACUGCCAUGUAUACAUUUUCACCUGUACCUGAAAUAAAAUGAGAGCCUGGA